rnacentral:piRNA from 1 species
UUCACCUAUUGAAACUGGUGUUUGAGGAAA